rnacentral:rRNA from 1 species
AAAGCGUGGGGAGCAAACAGGAUUAGAUACCCUGGUAGUCCACGCCGUAAACGAUGAGUGCUAAGUGUUAGAGGGUUUCCGCCCUUUAGUGCUGCAGCUAAAGCAUUAAGCACUCCGCCCGGGGAGUACGGCCGCAAGGGUGAAAAUCAAAGGAAAUGACGGGGGCCCGCACAAGCGGUGGAGCAUGUGGUUUAAUUUGAAGCAACACGAAGAACCUUACCAGGUCUUGACAUCUUCUGACACUCUUAGAGAUAGGAAUUUUCCCUUUGGGGGACAGAGUGACAGGUGGUGCAUGGUGUCGGCUCGUGUCGUGAGAUGUUGGGUUAAGUCCCGCAACGAGCGCAACCCUUGAUCUUAGUUGCCAGCAUUCAGUUGGGCACUCUAAGGUGACUGCCGGUGACAA